CCUACGGGAGGCAGCAGUGAGGGAUAUUGCGCAAUGGGCGAAAGCCUGACGCAGCGACGCCGCGUGGGCGAGGAAGGCCUUCGGGUUGUAAAGCCCUUUUGGCAGGGAAGAGCAAGGACUGUACCUGCAGAACAAGUCACGGCUAACUACGUGCCAGCAGCCGCGGUAAAACGGAGGGUGCGAGCGUUGUUCGGAAUCACUGGGCGUAAAGCGCGUGCAGGCGGCCUGUUAAGUCUGGUGUGAAAGCCCCCCGCUCAACGGGGGAAGGGCGCCGGAUACUGGCAGGCUAGAGUACCGGAGAGGAGGGCGAAAUUCCCGUUGUAGCGGUAAAAUGCGUAGAUAUCGGGAGGACCAC
rnacentral:rRNA from 1 species